CUCCUGGAGUCACGUGUCGGUCCUUCAGUGUCCAUGCUCACUCCACCAUGUGUCUAUCAGAGAGAGCAAACACUGGUGUCUUUUCCUGGGCGUGACCUGCAGCCAAGGAAGCCUGCCGAGAGGCAACCCUUAAGGCUUUCCGUUGUGAAUGCAAAGGAGCCUGGAGCUCUUCAUGCUGGGUCCAACAGAGGGUACCUGGCUCUCCAAAACGAUCGCCCACUGGUUUAGACAGUGUUCAGUUCUGCCAGCUCCUGAUUCGGUGAGUGGAGUUUUCCCUAUUUGACAAUAUAAUGCUAUCCUAUCUUUUCGAAGCAGAAAAUUUGACACUCAUUCUGAAGAAGGGCCAUCUUCCCCUUCAAAAUAAAUACCUACCAGCAUUAUCUUUGGGCUGGAUAGUUCUGUUCCCACUUGACACCAGUUAGAAUAAUUUUGGAAGAGGGAAACUUAAUGGAAAAAAAUGCCCCCACCAGAUUGGCCCGUGGGCAAGUCUUUGGUGCGUUUUCUUUAUUGAUGUGAGAGGGCCCUUGUCAUUGUGAGUGGCGACAUCCCUGGGCUGGCAGUCCUAUAAAACUGCAAGCUGAGAAGUCCAAGAGGAGCAGGGAGCACAGCUCUGCGUCAGUUCCUGCCUCCAGGUUCCUGUCUUGAGUUCCUGUCCUGGCUUCCUGGGAUAAUGAAGUAGAAGGCGUAAAAUGAAAC
rnacentral:lncRNA from 1 species